rnacentral:lncRNA from 1 species
AUGGGAGCCGGGACUGCUCAGCAAAGGUAGGAGUUGCCGACUAGGCCAGGAAUGGGGGCCAGACCCAGAGCCUGGUGGUGAGUGCCAAGGUAUCCCCACAGAAGGGUGGCUUUCCAAGGACCAGCCCUGCCUACAUUCCGAUGGAUUUAUGAGGAAACUGAAAUUCAGAAGAUUCACAGAGUUAGUAAUGCCCAGAACUGGGACUAGAAACUAAAUUUUGUGCUCCUUCUACUCCCCAGCAGCUCUUGCCAUUCUGAGGAGACAAGAAAUCAGGAAAUUUACAUAAGGAACCCUAAAACUGAGGCACUAUCCCAGAGAUCAGCAGGACCCUGGGAAGGAGAAACAGGAUUUAGAAUCCCCGGCUAACAGUUCUGGAAAGGGUAGAAGGGUAUGGAGAACAAGAAUGGCAGAAAGGAGAUGGAAAAGGAAGAGGUGAAGGCCAUUCCGAAAGCGGAGUGUUGAGUGGGUCAGGCUCCUGCACCUCUCACGUCUCCUGCUUCUUAGCAGUCACCAAGGCAGACCCUGCAGCUACCUCCGGCCAGAAAGGGGAUGAGCUUCUGAUCCUUCAGCUGCCUGGCCUGGCGCUCUGUACGCA